GGGGGCGUGGCUUAUGAAGCCUAGCUUUCCCGCCGACGGUUGGCCACGUCACGUGACAUGGUUUGGAAGAUGGCGUCUCCCACAGACGGGGCAGAUCUGGAAGCAUCUUUGCUAAGUUUUGAAAAACUUGACCGGGCUUCACCAGAUCUUUGGCCAGAACAAUUACCAGGUGUUGCUGAAUUUGCAGCGUCCUUCAAAAGUCCUAUUACUAGCUCUCCACCCAAAUGGAUGGCUGAAAUAGAACGGGAUGACAUUGAUAUGUUGAAAGAACUGGGGAGCCUCACCACAGCUAAUUUGAUGGAGAAGGUACGAGGCCUUCAGAACCUGGCCUAUCAGUUGGGGCUGGAUGAAUAUGAACUGCACUGAGGGAAUAUAAACCCUGUUAUAUUACAGUAUCCAGGGACCACCACUGCUGAGAGAUGGGCCAGAGAGAUGACACGGGGGAAAUUCCUCAACAUUCUGGAAAAGCCCAAGAAGUAGCAGCGGCUUGUGGACAGGACGUCCUGGGGACUGGAACCGUGCUUCCCUCCCAGUGCAGCUCUGAUGAUGCGCACCUCACUGCUUCCUGACCAGAGGCCGGAGGGUGCACCUCCAGGACUGACCCUCUCCCCUGCUUCGGGCACUCUGCGCCUCCGAGGACAUUCGGCGGCAAGAGAAGAAUCUGCGCUACCCAGUGAUCAGUGUAGUUAUUCAAUCAGCUUGCAGACUGUCCAUCUCAGCCUUGGAUGUUGGUAACACCAGAGGGUAUAUCAUUCUUGAAGAUCAAAGUCCUGCUUUCUCGUUUCUGCAAGUGAUUCUGGAGCUCCAGGAUCUUACAGUUGAUUUGAUUCAGUGAUAGAAAAGUCAGUUGAGACAUGUUGGACAAGUUCUUUUGAAUUGUACUUGAUCUCUCAGAAAGUAUUUAUGAUGCCAGGAAACCAGAGACCAAUUAGAUUCUGGACCAGACCAUGCAGCUUGACUUGCAAGCUCACCACUGUAUACUAGGUUCCAGGAAUCCUCAGCUGGAGGAAUGCUUUUAAAGUUCUGUACCUCCCACAAUAGUCCCAUCCCCCAAUGCCUUCCAUUCCCCACCUCCCAGCCCCCACCAUCAGUCUGACUCCUGGGAGGGGGUCCCUGUGUAUCAAGUCCCUCCUGGGAUUAGCUUGUACAGGGAAAGGCACAUGCAAGGUUGCAUUGGGUUCUAGACCUCAAGACCAACUUAAAGGUGACAGAAAGGACUUCUGAGUUCUAGUUAAUCUGUUACAGAUUCAAGCGGAAAAGUCAGUAUGGCUUGAAAGAUAGGAGAAGGGGAUCGAUUGUAGGAGUUCCCAUUUGAUUAAAAACUAGAAACUCUAAUUGACCUUAAAGAAAUGUGCUGUGGAACGGUGGCACUGUUUUGCACCUGCCUUGUCCUAUCUCACAGCACAGAUAGAUAUUUCACCCACAUGACAGAAACAUACACACACAAGAAAAAGACAAUUUCCUGACUUUACAACCCUUAUGGAGCUCCUUGCCAGUUAUCUGUCUCUAUGUUAAAACCUGAAAAUCUAGCCCACGGGUAAAACUGAUUAUACGUAUUCUCCUUAUUUUGUGUUAUAAGCCAGCCCCUGGCUUCUGUUAUUUUGAGAAGCACAUGGGGUUUCCUAAACUUUAUGAAAAGAACUUCCAUGUGGCAGUAGUUUGUUGGUGUUUGGACACAAGGAAUGUUGUGGUCAAGGUUUUGGUCCUAAGUGUCUGCUAGGACACAGCGCUAUUUAAUUUAAUAACUGGCUCAUUAACCAUUUUUUGACACUUCUGCCUUAUUUCCCAUGCUAGAAUUAACAUUGGAUUUUUCUCUCAUUUGCGCUAGUUGACUAUCCAUGUAAUUUUACUUGUUCAUAAAGUGGGGUGGAAUUUAACACAAGACAUAAAGGAGAGUAAGAGAAGGAAAACAUUCUGCUUGGGUGAUACAUAGAAGGUUAGGCUAUAGAGGCUUUGAUUUUAAGUAAAGCUUAUCAUUGACAUUCCUUUAUCUUAAAAAUGCGGUUAAAGAGUGUGAAAGAUGGGAAGGGAGAGAGAAAGGGAGGGCGUGCAAAAAAUAGUGCCAUAAUGUCAAAUUCUAACUUUGCUCUGUUUUUGAGAGUUGAUGACGUCAGGCACUUGUAAGUGCUUGGGGAAAUUGAGAAACAUAUGGAGAACAUUGGCAUACCUCCCCCAAACCAACUCCAGUCUGUAAACUGAAGCUAUGUAGUUGGUUUUUUGGUCUGCUUUGGCCUCUUCCUUUUACUGUCAUCUUAUUCACCAGCACUUAAUGUAAGUAGAUAUUUUAGAAUUGCGAUAUUUAUUGGUUUUGUAUUUGCCGUCCUUAGAGAUGUUAAUGAUGUAUUUUUAUAUUGAUAAUAUAAAUUUAUGUACGGUGUGUGCAUGUGUGUAUUUCAGGGUGUUAGAGGAUUGUACUUUGUAUAUGGUGGUUUCUGUGUCGUCAUAAUAAAUAUGUCCCUUUUAU